rnacentral:rRNA from 1 species
AAAACAGCCCUACGGGAGGCAGCAGUAGGGAAUAUUGGGCAAUGGAUGCAAGUCUGACCCAGCCAUGCCGCGUGCCGGACGAAGGCCCUCAGGGUUGUAAACGGCUUUUAUUCGGGAAGAAGAGCAUCGAUGCGUUGAUGUGUGACGGUACCGAAUGAAUAAGCACCGGCUAACUCCGUGCCAGCAGCCGCGGUAAUACGGAGGGUGCGAGCGUUGUCCGGAUUUAUUGGGUUUAAAGGGUGCGUAGGUGGCUGUUUAAGUCAGUGGUGAAAUACAUACGCUUAACGUAUGAGGUGCCAUUGAUACUGAAUAGCUUGAAAUAAUUGGAGGCUGCCGGAAU